rnacentral:rRNA from 1 species
GACGAACGCUGGCGGCGUGCUUAACACAUGCAAGUCGAGCGGUAAGGCCCUUCGGGGUACACGAGCGGCGAACGGGUGAGUAACACGUGAGUAAUCUGCCCAUCACUUCGGGAUAACUCCGGGAAACCGGUGCUAAUACCGUAUAUGACCACUUCAGGCAUCUGAUGGUGGUGGAAAGUUCCGGCGGUGAUGGAUGAGCGCGCGGCCUAUCAGCUUGUUGGUGGGGUAGUGGCCUACCAAGGCUUCGACGGGUAGCCGGCCUGAGAGGGUGACCGGCCACACUGGGACUGAGACACGGCCCAGACUCCUACGGGAGGCAGCAGUGGGGAAUAUUGGACAAUGGGCGAAAGCCUGAUCCAGCAACGCCGCGUGAGGGAUGACGGCCUUCGGGUUGUAAACCUCUGUCAGCAGGGACGAAGCGCAAGUGACGGUACCUGCAGAAGAAGCACCGGCCAACUACGUG